UACGCAGGGGGCUAGCGUUGUUCGGAAUUACUGGGCGUAAAGCGGGUGUAGGCGGAUCUUUAAGUCGGAGGUGAAAGCCCAGGGCUCAACCCUGGAAUUGCCUUCGAUACUGGAGAUCUGGAGUGUGGGAGAGGUGAGUGGAAUUCCGAGUGGAGAGGUGAAAUUCGUAGAUAUUCGGAGGAACACCAGAGGCGAAGGCGGCUCACUGGACCCCUACUGACGCUGAGACCCGAAAGCGUGGGGAGCAAACAGG
rnacentral:rRNA from 1 species